UGACAUUACAAAUAUCGUUAGAAGAAAAUUCAUGCACAUUUAAGAUAUAAUAUAGAGAGACGUAUGAAGCUGUUAAGAAAGACCGAAUUAUGCUGGAAUACAGCGAUAACCUAGAAAUAGAUAGAUAGUGACAGUCGUGACCAUCGCCGCGUCAUAGAUACUUAGUGAUAGUGAAAUAUAUAUUGACGGCAGAGAGCUGAUGCCGAUUUUCUUUAAGAAGGAAGGUGUAUCCAAAAUCGCACACGAACAUUUUAUAUUCAACUACGUGGUAUACAAUUUUGCCGUUAUAUAUUGACCGCAGGAAGCUGAUACCGAAGAGAUCUUUAAGAAGGAAGGUGUAUCCAAAAUUGCACAUGUAUGGGACUUGUGAGUUAUGCGAAGCAAUUGAUACUAUUAAGGUUCAUUUGUCGUAUGAAGUUUGCACACGUCAAACUUAACAUCCUAAAGGUCACGAUGCAUUCUGAAAACGAUACCGUGCAGGUUUGUUGGCGUAUACGUGGUGUCACAGGCUGGAAGGUAUUUUCUACGUUUUGGAAGUAAAAUUUGGAAAA